rnacentral:rRNA from 1 species
UACAGAGACUGCAAGCGUUAUUCGGAGUUCAACUGGGCGUAAAGGGUGCGCUAGGACGGCCGGGUGUGUCAGAAUCGUGAAAUCCCGAGGCUUAACCUCGGAACUGCGUCUGAAACUACUCGGCUAGAGUAUUGGGAGAGGGUAACGGAAUUCACGGUGUAGCAGUGAAAUGCGUAGAUAUCGUGAGGAACACCAGAGGCGAAGGCGGUUACCUGGACAAUUACUGACGCUCAGGCACGAAAGCGAU